rnacentral:rRNA from 1 species
GACGAACGCUGGCGGCGUGCUUAACACAUGCAAGUCGAACGGAAAGGCCUUGCUUUUGUGGGGGGCUGGGGUGGCGAGCGGGGGAGAAACGCGAGUAUAACGUGCCUGUGAUUUUCGGAAAUCUGCUGGAAACUGGGGAAAAUAGCGGUAAUUAGCGCUUGCUGCGUGGGGUGGGUUGGAAAGUUUCGGCGGUUGGGGUUGGACUCGCGGCUUAUCAGGCUGUUGGUGGGGUAGUGGCUUACGUAGUCGUUGACGGGUAGCCGGCCUGAGAGGGUGAACGGCCACACUGGGACUGAGAUACGGCCCAGAAUCAUACGGGAGGCAGGAGUGGGGAAUAUUAGACAGUGGGCGGGAGCCUGAGGCAGCAAUGCCGCCCGCGGGGUUGCGGCCUCCUGUUGGCAGAGCGCUUUCGCCUGGGACGGAGGGGGAGUGACGGUAAUGGGUGAAGAAGCACCGGCUAACUACGUG